rnacentral:rRNA from 1 species
AAGUUGCUUCUCUGAUGUUAGCGGCGGACGGGUGAGUAACACGUGGAUAACCUACCUAUCUGGGAUAACUUCGGGAAACCGGAGCUAAUACCGGAUAAUAUUUUGAACCGCAUGGUUCAAAAGUGAAACGGUCUUGCUGUCACUUAUAGAUGGAUCCGCGCUGCAUUAGCUAGUUGGUAAGGUAACGGCUUACGCAACGAUGCAUAGCCGACCUGAGAGGGUGAUCGGCCACACUGGAACUGAGACACGGUCCAGACUCCUACGGGAGGCAGCAGUAGGGAAUCUUCCGCAAUGGGCGAAAGCCUGACGGAGCAACGCCGCGUGAGUGAGGUCUUCGGAUCGUAAAACUCUGUUAUUAGGGAAGAACAUAUGUGUAAGUAACUGUGCACAUCUUGACGGUACCUAAUCAGAAAGCCACGGCUAACUACGUGCCAGCAGCCGCGGUAAUACGUAGGUGGCAAGCGUGGAAUUAUUGGGCGUAAAGCGCGCGUAGGCGGUUUUUUAAGUCUGAUGUGAAAGCCCACGGCUCAACCGUGGAGGGUCAUUGGAAACUGGAAAACUUGAGUGCAGAAGAGGAAAGUGGAAUUCCAUGUGUAGCGAUGCGCAGAGAUAUGGAGGAACACCAUGGCGAAGGCGACUUUCUGGUCUGUAACUGACGCUGAUGUGCGAAAGCGUGGGGAUCAAACAGGAUUAGAUACCCUGGUAGUCCACGCCGUAAACGAUGAGUGCUAAGUGGGGGUUUCCGCCCCUUAGUGCUGCAGCUAACGCAUUAAGCACUCCGCCUGGGGAGUACGACCGCAGGUUGAAACUCAAAGGAAUUGACGGGGACCCGCACAAGCGGUGGAGCAUGUGGUUUAAUUCGAAGCAACAAGAACCUUACCAAAUCUUGACAUCCUUUGACAACUCUAGAGAUAGAGCCUUCCCCUUCGGGGGACAAAGACAGGUGGUGCAUGGUUGUCGUCAGCUCGUGUCGUGAGAUGUUGGGUUAAGUCCCGCAACGAGCGCACCCUUAAGCUUAGUUGCCAUCAUUAAGUUGGGCACUCUAAGUUGACUGCCGGUGACAAACCGGAGGAGUGGGGAUGACAUCAAAUCACA